rnacentral:rRNA from 1 species
UUGUCCUACGGGGGGCAGCAGUGAGGAAUAUUGGUCAAUGGCCGAGAGGCUGAACCAGCCAAGUCGCGUGAGGGAUGACGGCCCUACGGGUUGUAAACCUCUUUUGUCGGGGAGCAAGACCCGCCACGAGUGGCGGAGCGAGAGUACCCGAAGAAAAAGCAUCGGCUAACUCCGUGCCAGCAGCCGCGGUAAUACGGAGGAUGCGAGCGUUAUCCGGAUUUAUUGGGUUUAAAGGGUGCGCAGGCGGGAGAUCAAGUCAGCGGUCAAAUGUCUGGGCUCAAACCCGGCC